rnacentral:tRNA from 1 species
GGCGAUGUCAUCUAGUGGCCUAGGAUGGGACCCUUUCAAGGUCCUCACGCGGGUUCGAAUCCCGCCGACGCUACCA